rnacentral:hammerhead_ribozyme from 1 species
GCACCGCUGAAGAGUCUCAAACAGGACGAAACAGCUGUCCAGUGC